UGCAUCGGCCUGUAAUCGAACCCGCUCCGCCCGCGUGACAGGCGAGCAUUCUGCCACUGAACCACCGAUGG
rnacentral:tRNA from 1 species